CCUACGGGGGGCUGCAGUGGGGAAUAGUGGACAAUGGGGGCAACCCUGAUCCAGCCAUGCCGCGUGUGUGAAGAAGGCCCUCGGGUUGUAAAGCACUUUCAGUGAGGAAGAACGCCUGGUGGUUAAUACCCAUCAGGAAAGACAUCACUCACAGAAGAAGCACCGGCUAACUCCGUGCCAGCAGCCGCGGUAAUACGGAGGGUGCGAGCGUUAAUCGGAAUUACUGGGCGUAAAGCGCGCGUAGGUGGCUUGAUAAGCCGGUUGUGAAAGCCCCGGGCUCAACCUGGGAACGGCAUCCGGAACUGUCAAGCUAGAGUGCAGGAGAGGAAGGUAGAAUUGCCGGUGUAGCGGUGAAAUGCGUAGAGAUCGGGAGGAAUACCAGUGGCGAAGGCGGCCUUCUGGACUGACACUGACACUGAGGUGCGAAAGCGUGGGUAGCAAACAGGAUUAGAUACCCUGGUAGUC
rnacentral:rRNA from 1 species